CAGUUCUGCCCCUUUUCCACCGGCUCUACUGCCUCUUUUCAACCCGGCUUUGCUCGGCUCUGUUUCACAGUGACCACGUUUCCACCGGCCCAACUUGGCUCUUUAUGGCAGGGUGCCGCCUGCAGGCACCAUGUGCUGUGCUUCGUUACAUGCAAGUUGUUUUUCUGAUACAAAAGAAGAAGAGAGAACUGAGCUAUUUUUUUUAUAGCCUGAUUGGGAUUUUUCUGAGAUUUCAAGAAAAUGCACCGGUGGGAGGAAUGCUGCGAUGUGGUGAGAAGGAGCUGAUCUUCACCUUGCAGGGGGAGGAAAGCAGGUGACUCAGACGGUGCAGAUGUUGGUAAACUGUCGCUGCAGACCAUCAUGGUUCUUCGUGCUCCUCUGAGUUGUAGGACGUCUCAUCAGUGUCCGUCUUCCUGACUGGGUCGGUGUUUACCUUCAGGAUGUCUGGAGCAGGGAUCACAUGAGCUCAAUAUGCUGAUGAAACAUUUCUGAUUUAAAAAAUGUGUCUGAUGUUCUUAUAGAGUAGAAGUGCAUUAACAAUCUGUAGUUUUGAACUUCAAUAGUUUAAUUAUGAUUCACCUGAUGUCCAAGUUAUAUUGAGAACAAAUAAAGCUGUAUUCCAUCUAA